rnacentral:rRNA from 1 species
CAGUCGCCGCGGGAAUACGUAGGUGGCAAGCGUUGUCCGGAUUUAUUGGGCGUAAAGCGAGCGCAGGCGGUUCCUUAAGUCUGAUGUGAAAGCCCCCGGCUCAACCGGGGAGGGUCAUUGGAAACUGGGGAACUUGAGUGCAGAAGAGGAGAGUGGAAUUCCAUGUGUAGCGGUGAAAUGCGUAGAUAUAUGGAGGAACACCAGUGGCGAAGGCGACUCUCUGGUCUGUAACUGACGCUGAGGCUCGAAAGCGUGGGUAGCAAACAGGAUUAGAUACCCCUGUAGUCCCUGUCUCUUAUAA